GUGCUCGCUUCCGCAGCACAUAUAAAAAAAUUGGAAUGAUACAGAGAAAAUUAACAUGGCCCCU
rnacentral:snRNA from 1 species